rnacentral:lncRNA from 1 species
GAAAAAUUUUAAAUACUAUCCAUGUGAUUUCGUAUUUUUUUAUUUUAAUAUCUUAGGGUUUAAAGUGUAUCAAUUUAAUUUUUGGUGGUUUUAUUUUUCUUUUUUUACUAUUCCCUCCGCUAACUUUUUUGUUAAAUUAAUGAUAGAGUUAAAAUUAAAAUCUACUGAAGUGAAUAUUCGAUAAAUUUAGAUGAGAUAUCUGAAGUAUUUUUGUAUAUAAUUUAACGAAAUGUUAAUAGAGGAGCUGACGAAAAGAGAAAAAUAAACCACAAAGUACUAAAUUUAUACAUUUUAAAUUAUAAGAUACUAAAAUGAGAAAGCGUGAAACCAUGUGGGGGUAUUUGAA